rnacentral:rRNA from 1 species
CCUACGGGAGGCAGCAGUGGGGAAUUUUGGACAAUGGGCGCAAGCCUGAUCCAGCAAUGCCGCGUGAGUGAAGAAGGCCUUCGGGUUGUAAAGCUCUUUUGUCAGGGAAGAAACGGUGGGGGCUAAUAUCCCUUGCUAAUGACGGUACCUGAAGAAUAAGCACCGGCUAACUACGUGCCAGCAGCCGCGGUAAUACGUAGGGUGCAAGCGUUAAUCGGAAUUACUGGGCGUAAAGCGUGCGCAGGCGGUUUUGUAAGUUUGUCGUGAAAUCCCCGGGCUCAACCUGGGAAUGGCGAUGAAGACUGCAAGGCUAGAAUCUGGCAGAGGGGGGUAGAAUUCCACGUGUAGCAGUGAAAUGCGUAGAGAUGUGGAGGAACACCGAUGGCGAAGGCAGCCCCCUGGGUCAAGAUUGACGCUCAUGCACGAAAGCGUGGGGAGCAAACAGGAUUAGAUACCCUGGUAGUCCACGCCCUAAACGAUGUCUACUAGUUGUCGGGUUUUAAUUAACGUUGGUAACGCAGCUACGCGUGAGUAGACCGCCGUCGGGAGGUACGGUCGCGAGAAUUAAAACGUUAAAGUAGUAAGUUAGUACGGUCGUGAGACGUGCCGACGGACGACGACGAGGGAGGUUAGG